rnacentral:rRNA from 1 species
AUGAGCUCGCGUCGGAUUAGCUAGUUGGUAGUGUAAGGGACUACCAAGGCGACGAUCCGUAGCCGGUCUGAGAGGACGAUCGGCCACACUGGGACUGAGACACGGCCCAGACUCCUACGGGAGGCAGCAGUGGGGAAUUUUCCGCAAUGGGCGAAAGCCUGACGGAGCAAGACCGCGUGAGGGAGGAAGGCUCUUGGGUUGUAAACCUCUUUUCUCAAGGAAGAAGAAAUGACGGUACUUGAGGAAUCAGCAUCGGCUAACUCCGUGCCAGCAGCCGCGGUAAUACGGAGGAUGCAAGCGUUAUCCGGAAUGAUUGGGCGUAAAGCGUCCGCAGGUGGCAGUUCAAGUCUGCCGUUAAAGACUCCAGCUUAACUGGAGGAAGGCGGUGGAAACUGAACAGCUAGAGUGCGGUAGGGGCAGAGGGAAUUCCCGGUGUAGCGGUGAAAUGCGUAGAGAUCGGGAAGAACACCAGUGGCGAAAGCGCUCUGC